CCAGACUCCUACGGGAGGCAGCAGUAGGGAAUUUUGCGCAAUGGACGAAAGUCUGACGCAGCAACGCCGCGUGGGUGAUGAAGGUCUUCGGAUCGUAAAACCCUGUCGUCAGGGACGAAGGUUGCAUGCCUAACAGGUGUGUAACUUGACGGUACCUGGAGAGGAAGCCCCGGCUAACUCUGUGCCAGCAGCCGCGGUAAUACAGAGGGGGCAAGCGUUAUUCGGAAUUAUUGGGCGUAAAGGGCGCGUAGGCGGUGAUUUAAGUGAGAUGUGUAAUCCCUGGGCUUAACCUGGGAACUGCAUCUCAGACUGGAUCGCUAGAGUGCUGGAGAGGGUGGUAGAAUUCCACGUGUAGCGGUGAAAUGCGUAGAGAUGUGGAGGAAUACCAGUGGCGAAGGCGGCCACCUGGACAGUAACUGACGCUGAGGCGCGAAAGUGUGGGUAGCAAACAGGAUUAGAUACCCUGGUAGUCCACGCUGUAAACGAUGAACACUUGGUGUGGUGGGAGUUGACCCCUGCCGUGCCGUAGCUAACGCGAUAAGUGUUCCGCCUGGGGAGUACGGUCGCAAGGCUG
rnacentral:rRNA from 1 species